CAAUCAAACCGGGAGAUAGCUGGUUCUCCCCGAAAGCUAUUUAGGUAGCGCCUCGUGAAUUCAUCUCCGGGGGUAGAGCACUGUUUCGGCUAGGGGGCCAUCCCGGCUUACCAACCCGAUGCAAACUGCGAAUACCGGAGAAUGUUAUCACGGGAGACACACGGCGGGUGCUAACGUCCGUCGUGAAGAGGGAAACAACCCAGACCGCCAGCUAAGGUCCCAAAGUCAUGGUUAAGUGGGAAACGAUGUGGGAAGGCCCAGACAGCCAGGAUGUUGGCUUAGAAGCAGCCAUCAUUUAAAGAAAGCGUAAUAGCUCACUGGUCGAGUCGGCCUGCGCGGAAGAUGUAACGGGGCUAAACCAUGCACCGAAGCUGCGGCAGCGAACGUAUCACCCAAGACAACUUUACGGAGUUGACGAUUGACGGAGCGAAGCGACGUCAAAGCGUUCAUUAAAGUCGAGUUGGCUUAGGGAUACGUUCGUUGGGUAGGGGAGCGUUCUGUAAGCCUGUGAAGGUGUGUCGUGAGGCAUGCUGGAGGUAUCAGAAGUGCGAAUGCUGACAUAAGUAACGAUAAAGCGGGUGAAAAGCC
rnacentral:rRNA from 2 species